GCCUGAAGGCCGGACCGGUGGGGGUGCUGUGUCUGCAAGUCACUGACGCCGCAGAUAGCCCAAGUCCUAUUUCCGGUGACUCUUUCUCACAGCUUGUUAGGAAGGGCUCCAGAGCAUGGCUUCUGUAAUCUCUCAGGUUUCCCGUAGUUACGGGGCGUAGUUACGGUAGCAUUUCAUGCAGGCUUGGUUCAUAACGUCCUGAAAGAGCUCAACCUCGGUCUCCAGCAUAAGGACGAGCUCAGCUGCAAAAAGACGAACAGAAGCCUCCAGAAAACAACCAAAAGCAGACCACAGAGAGUAGAGACCUGACCUGAUGGUCCCCACACCACACCAGAGGCUCUUCCAGCCUCAGACCCAGGAGCCCUGGAUGUUGCCACCCUGCUGAGAAAGGAGCCACUCCAAACCUGCCCCUGAAGCACUGGAAGUUCUGCCCAACUCAACAGGCACUUCUUCCCCUAAAGUCUGAACUUCUAGAGGUACAGUCCUGAGCACCAGGAAAAAUUCCUGGAUUUGUGAUAAAGCCUGGACAUAAUCCGAAGUCUUUACAACAGUCAGAAAAAAUUCCCAGAUUUGUGAUGAGGCCUGGACAUAAUCCAAAGUCUCUCCAACAGUAAGAGUUGCAUGUUUUCUCCAUGACAAAUCAGGAAUAUAACCUAUGUCUCAGAACAGGGCUGCACCGCUUUCACAUUAUAGCCUCCAUGCCCCAACCCCACAGUGCAUAUCAAUGACAGGCCCCUAACUAGACACCUUCCAGCCUCAGGCCUACACCUCCUUCUCUUACCCUCACAGGCUGCCAGAGCCCCACACCCUACCUUUUGCAGAGCAGACACCCCAGUGUAUUGCUCCUGCCAACAGCUCACUCCUCCCAUCCCCAGUCUCUGCCUC